CUCGUCUCAAGUUGGACCCGUUGGUGAGCCUUUCUCUAUUAAUGCUACUACCUCUUUGUUUUUUUAAUUUUGUUUGUACUUAGUUUGGUACUUAUAUUAGAUUUUAAGUUGAACAACCAUAUUAAAUGUGAUUGGUAUCUGCUAUUUUUUAAGCUUUAAAUCUUUUUAACUUUAUGUUCUGCUUGGUCUAUUUUAUGAUAUUAUUUCAUUGUACAUGAGUAUUUGUAUUGUCUUCUAGGUUCUAAUGCUGUUGCCAUGCCUUCCACUAUAAUUUAUACACCAAAUUUGACUCAGAAUCUCUGUGAAUUUAUCUGCACA
rnacentral:misc_RNA from 1 species